rnacentral:misc_RNA from 1 species
GAUGAAGAACGUAGCGAAAUGCGAUACUUGGUGUGAAUAGCAGAAUCCCGUGAACCAUCGAGUCUUUGAACGCAAGUUGCGCCCGAAGCCAUUAGGCCGAGGGCACGCCUGCCUGGGCGUCACACGUCGUUGCCCCCCCAUCUACUCCUUCGGGAUUGCGGGGGGCGGAUGAUGGCCUCCCGUGCGCCUCGUCGCGCGGUUGGCAUAAAUGCCAAGUCCUCGGCGACGCACGCCACGACAAUCGGUGGUUGCGAAACCUCGGUUGCCCGUCGUGUGCGGUCGUCGCGCAUCGAGGGCUCGAAAAAAUUGCCGGGCUCCGGCUCGGCUUUCAACGCGACCCCAGGUCAGGCGGGGUUACCCGCUGAAUUUAAGCAUAUCUAAGCGGAGGA